CCUACGGGAGGCAGCAGUGGGGAAUAUUGGACAAUGGGCGCAAGCCUGAUCCAGCCAUACCGCGUGGGUGAAGAAGGCCUUCGGGUUGUAAAGCCCUUUUGUUGGGCAAGAAAUCCAGCUGGCUAAUACCCGGCUGGGAUGACGGUACCCAAAGAAUAAGCACAGGCUAACUUCGUGCCAGCAGCCGCCGGAAUACGAAAGGUGCCAGCGUUACUCGGGAUUACUGGGCGUAAAGCGGGCGUAGGUGGUCGUGUAACGCCGUGGUGAAAGCCCUGUGGUGAACCUAGGAACUGCAGUGGAGACUGGGCGACUAGAGUGUGGUAGAGGAGAGCGGAAUUCCAGGUGUAGCAGUGAAAUGCGUAGAGAUCAGGAGGAAUAGCCAUGGCGAAGGCAGCUACCUGGACCAACACUGACACUGAGGCACGAAAGCGUGGGGAGCAAACAGGAUUAGAUACCCUAGUAGUC
rnacentral:rRNA from 1 species